rnacentral:lncRNA from 1 species
CCAUCCGUGAAUGCCAUACUCCGGAAGGCCUAGAAGAGUCGGAUGGCGACGAUCCCACUCCAGCAGAAAUUUCUGCAACCACCAAUGCAGCCGGCUUGGAGGAUGAACGACGAGGGGAGCCACGCAUGCCAACCUCAGCCGACCCACUUGCAGAAAUUCCAGCAGCUGAAGAUGACUCUUCAUGCCACGCCAUUAGCAGCGCCGAUUGGAGAAUUUGGGACCGGAUCCGAGAAGCCAUCAAGCUAGACGUUCGGGCUCAAGAAAUUAUUGAAAAGGUUGAGGCAGCUGCAGAUGGGGUAACCAAUUUCAAAAUCCGGGAUGGCCUCAUCUUCUACAAAGGGUAUGCCUAUGUCCCUAACACUCGAA